AUCAGAUCUUAUGGUAGUUAGUGAGAUCAGAUUCUACAAGAGUUGUUAGCUCGUGUAUAUAAGCUAGUAAUCAACUCAUUUUAUAAAAAAGUGAAGCAAUAUGAAACCAAUACAUUCUUCCUCUUCUCCUCUCAAGAUUCUUUAAAUCACACUCUUCUCUUCUUCUCUCCUUCAUCCCUCGUUUCAUUUCACUACUACUUUGUUUCUGCAUUUCUGGUUUCUUAAGUUCAUACAUUUGAAUAUAAAUCAGUUCAUGGUAUCAGAGCUAUCAAGCCAUAGAGCUUGAGAUUGAUUCAAUUCGGCACAAAAAAUUACGAAAAAGAAAAGUUCAUUCAAAUCAAAGAAACAAGAAUGAGUUCCAAUGCAGAUCAAGAAGCUCUUGCAAAUGUUGUUGCAUCUGGUGGAGGAAACAGUCAAGCUUUUCUGAGAAUCGAUUACAAUCAUCCUCUAUUUCUUCAUCCAUCAGAUAUUGGUGGUAUUCAUAUUAUCACAUUGCAACUUACAAGUAUCGAAAACUACUCUAUUUGGUUUCGGUCAAUGAGACGUUCUCUGUUAGGAAGGAAUAAACUAGAACUUGUUGAUGAUUCUUGUAAAAAGGAAGAUUUCCUGAAGCUAUGUGCAAUCAUUGGGAAAGGGUUAAUGCCAUAAUUCAUUCUUGGAUAAUGAGUUCAGUAGCAAAAGGACUUUUAGGAAGAAUUAUGUAUGUUACUAAUGCAUAAGAAGUUUGGGAAGAAUUACAUGAACGAUUUGACAAAAUUGAUAGUUCAAGAACAUUUAAUGUUAAAAAAAAACUGCUACUUUGUCCAAAGGAGUUGCUUCUGUGUCCAGUGAUAAGUAGGAUUUUUGACCGCUUAUUUUCGCUCUUUUCCUUGCGUUUUAGCUCCAAAAUGCUUUAAAGUAUUUUCGAAAACUAAUGAAAUGUGCUUGCUUGCAGAAAUGUUGCAAUAUGAGCCAAAGAAAUCAAAAUCAACUCAUAAAGGAGUUAAAAGUGGACAAGGACC
rnacentral:lncRNA from 1 species